GCAUACUUCUCGCGGCUUCUCAUGUGUGCUGUCAUGCUGUGUCACUCAGCAAAGCUGUGCCUGGGCCGUCUGGAAGGUUUCGUUGCAUGCGAGUCGCCACGUUCUUCACCUGCGCGACGGCACGCGUCAGACGCCUGCCUCCAUCAGACCAUGAGCCGCGAAGAUAAAUCCACGCGCUCACGCACGGUCGGUCACGUUCACCCACCGUCUCGUCGUGCGAUCUGAAGAUGUCCUCUAGCGAUCAGAAGCCGGCCGCCGCGCCCGCGUCGGGCGCCGCCGAGCCGUCGCCGCCGGGCAGGCCGACGGCGGUGUCGUCGCAGGUCCUGGACAUGGGCGCGCAGAUGGUGCAGGCGCUGAAGCCGGUGCGGCAGAUGAAGCUGCACGCGUGCAGCUUCGCGCUCUACGCCCACGACCUGCGCCGCCAGAUGGAGGUCCACCACUUCCUCUCCCGGCUCAACCAGGACGUCGUCCAGUGCGCCGUCUACGACUCCGACAAGCCCUCGGCCCGCCUCAUCGGCGUGGAGUACAUCGUGUCGGACACCAUCUUCGAGGGCCUGCCGCCGGAGGAGCAGAGGCUGUGGCACUCGCACGCGUACGAGGUGAAGGCCGGGCUGUGGACCGCCGUGGGCGUGCCGGAGGCGCUGCAGAGCUCGGAGAUGGCGAGCCUCGCCAGGACGUACGGCAAGUUCUGGUGCACGUGGCAGGUGGACCGCGGCGACGCGCUGCCGCUCGGCGCGCCGGCGCUGAUGGUGUCGCCGCAGGCCGCGGAGCCGGGGCGAGCGCGCGGCGACCUGGUGCGCGGCCGCGACGAGAGGUACGGGGUGGACAGCUCGGCGGGGGGGCUCAAGGCGGCCAGGGUGGAGAUGGAGGAGCCGGAGUGGAUCAACCCCAACGCCGACUACUGGCGGCUGCACGGCAAGGGCUUCGCGGUGGACGUCGUCCAGGCCGAGAUGAAGCGCCACGCGCCCUUCCCGUGAGCCACCGCCGCCGCCGCCGCGGGGGUGUUCGUUGCGACGCGUGCUUGUUAAGAUCGAUGUGGCAGCAUGAACGGAAACAGAGUGCGGAGACAUCGACUAUCUCCCUGAAGUUACAUAAUGCCAUCCCGUAGUAUCAACUGUCUCCCUGACCUUGGGAGCAGGGGCAACUAGAAUGGGCGAGAUGAGACACGUCGCGUCCUUAAUGGUGCCCGUAUAAACCCUCUGUAACGCGCCAUUAGCAUAACAUGACAACUCCUAGACCGGAGGCCCAGUGUUGUCGAAGAGUCCUAACUCUUUGAGUUUGGGUAAAGUCUCUCAGAGAGCAUGAAACAUUGCUGCUGAGGAUCACGGGCUUGGCGCAGAAUUGGCUAAUUCUGUGCCCGGCCGACAAGAAGGUGGUCAUGGAGAGCUGGCUGAAAGCUGUGAAGGAAAAUGCUUGCAAGCCGGAGAGGCUGUUGCUGUGAACAAGGCACUGGAGAAGCUGGAGUUUGAAAACGUGCUGGCGGGGUGGAGAUACAACAAGACACCGUCCAGAGCUCAUCAAUGGAGCUCGGGGAGAAGCUCAGAAGAUCAGAUUCCGUUGGAGCUUGCCUGGAGGUCGCAGCUGCGGACGAGUACAGGUCUGCGCAAUGUGCUCUGAUUUCUCCGCCUGUAAUUGCUGCCCAGAAUAUGUGGUCUGGCUGUGCUGAUAAAUUGUUCUCAGUGUGUGGGUGCGAGCUAUUGAUGUGGAUGUUUCGAUACAGUUGUGUAGCCAAACUGUAAUGA